UUAUACUUACGCGAAUUGAUAUUUCAUUGCAUACAUGCCAACUAUCCCGAUUUUUGCGGGAUUCUCCCGAUUUCACGUCGUCAAAAAUACAAAUCCCGAUAUCCCGAUCGGGAUUGUCAAAAUACCCCGAAAUCCCGAUUCUCAAAAAAUCCAACCCGUUUUACGACAAUAAGUCCCGAUUUUCAUCUAAAAUUUCAAAUCCCGCGCUGCUUGUCUACGCUAACCAAUCAAAAAGCGGGAUUAUGACCGCCAUUGCUUUUACCUUUUACCUAAGUUUACCUGUAUCGCGUGUGUGUAUAUCGGGAUGUGUGAAUUGGUGUAAUUACCUGUACGCUACCUGUGUCUGGGUGUUUGCAAACCUAAUGAGGAGCGUGUUUUGAUAGUAAUUAAUCGGGAAGUAUCGGGAUGGAUAGCAAAAUGCCACACGUUUUACACAAACUUCGACAAGAAUGGGGUUACACCACAGGGGCUCGUCACGAAGUUUUUUCAACCUUUUAUAUAUACCACCUCUAUACUAUAAAAUAGUAUAUAUAAUAGUGUAUUUUAUAGUAUAGAGGUGGUAUAUAUAAAAGGUUGAAAAAACUUCGUGACGAGUCCCUGUGGUUACACCACCAAAGAAAACGAAACUUUCAUCCCGAUAUCGGGAGGAAGGUUCCCGAUUUUCGGGAUGACUAUCGGGAUCGUAAUUGGAUGACAACCAUGUAUAUUGCCGUGCAAUAGGGAUUUUAGGGUAGACCAUGGUGGAAUGAAUGAUGUUACAAAGAACACGAAAACAGCCAUCCAUCAAGCCACAUGCUGCUACCAACUUCUUUGUGAAAUCAAAAUUGGAGCAAGAUAAAGAUGUCACAAGAGCAGAGGUCCUGUUUGCCAACUGCGUUACAGAAUUUAGUGCUUUUUGAACUGCUAUAUACCAUACUAUUUAUUGUUUGUUGAGAUUUUAAAGAUUGAUUUAAUAAAGAUUGAUUUAAUAUAUGAAAAUAAAGUUAUGUACUUUAUUUAUGAUUUCAUUUGAAAGAGGAGAUUGUUUGAUAAACACAUUAGAAUAAUGAUAAAUAGAUAAAGAAACAGAUGCAUUUCUAAGAAUUCAAUUGUUUAUAGUAUACAAAGCAAUUACACGACAAAAUGCCGCGAAAU